rnacentral:lncRNA from 1 species
AAGCUCGGUGCACGGCGCGCUGAUUGGCUGGAUCCGCCAUGCGGAGCGGCUAGGUGGUGCACGGGAAACGCGGGCGUAUCUCUUCAACUGUGGAGAAGGCGUUCAGAGACUCAUGCAGGAGCACAAGUUAAAGGUUGCUCGCCUGGACAACAUAUUCCUGACACGAAUGCACUGGUCUAAUGUUGGGGGCUUAAGUGGAAUGAUUCUUACUUUAAAGGAAACCGGGCUUCCAAAGUGUGUACUUUCUGGACCUCCACAACUGGAAAAAUACCUCGAAGCAAUCAAAAUAUUUUCUGGUCCAUUGAAAGGAAUAGAACUGGCUGUGCGGCCCCACUCUGCCCCAGAAUACGAGGAUGAAACCAUGACAGUUUACCAGAUCCCCAUACACAGUGAACAGAGGAGGGGAAAGCACCAACCAUGGCAGAGUCCAGAAAGGCCUCUCAGCAGGCUCAGUCCAGAGCGAUCUUCAGACUCCGAGU